rnacentral:rRNA from 1 species
UAGCUAGUUGGUGAGGUAAAGGCUUACCAAGGCGACGAUCUGUAGCGGGUCUGAGAGGAUGAUCCGCCACACUGGAACUGAGACACGGUCCAGACUCCUACGGGAGGCAGCAGUGGGGAAUUUUGGACAAUGGGGGCAACCCUGAUCCAGCCAUGCCGCGUGAGUGAAGAAGGCCUUCGGGUUGUAAAGCUCUUUCGGCCGGGAAGAAAUCGCAUGGGCCAAUACCCUGUGUGGAUGACGGUACCGGAAUAAGAAGCACCGGCUAACUACGUGCCAGCAGCCGCGGUAAUACGUAGGGUGCGAGCGUUAAUCGGAAUUACUGGGCGUAAAGCGUGCGCAGGCGGUUUUGUAAGACAGGCGUGAAAUCCCCGGGCUUAACCUGGGAACUGCGUUUGUGACUGCAAGGCUAGUACGGCAGAGGGGGGUGGAAUUCCACGUGUAGCAGUGAAAUGCGUAGAGAUGUGGAGGAACACCAAUGGCGAAGGCAGCCCCCUGGGUCGAUACUGACGCUCAUGCACGAAAGCGUGGGUAGCAAACAGGAUUAGAUACCCUGGUAGUCCACGCCCUAAACUAUGUCAACUAGGUGUUGGGUGGGUAAAACCAUUUAGUACCGUAGCUAACGCGUGAAGUUGACCGCCUGGGGAGUACGGCCGCAAGGUUAAAACUCAAAGGAAUUGACGGGGACCCGCACAAGCGGUGGAUGAUGUGGAUUAAUUCGAUGCAACGCGAAAAACCUUACCUACCCUUGACAUGCCAGGAACUUGCCAGAGAUGGCUUGGUGCCCGAAAGGGAGCCUGGACACAGGUGCUGCAUGGCUGUCGUCAGCUCGUGUCGUGAGAUGUUGGGUUAAGUCCCGCAACGAGCGCAACCCUUGUCGUUAAUUGCCAUCAUUUAGUUGGGCACUUUAACGAGACUGCCGGUGACAAACCGGAGGAAGGUGGGGAUGACGUCAAGUCCUCAUGGCCCUUAUGGGUAGGGCUUCACACGUCAUACAAUGGUCGGUACAAAGGGUUGCCAAGCCGCGAGGCGGAGCCAAUCCCAGAAAGCCGAUCGUAGUCCGGAUUGCAGGCUGCAACUCGCCUGCAUGAAGUCGGAAUCGCUAGUAAUCGUGGAUCAGCAUGUCACGGUGAAUACGUUCCCGGGUCUUGUACACACCGCCCGUCACACCAUGGGAGCGGGUUCCGCCAGAAGUAGGUAGCCUAACCGCAAGGGGGGCGCUUACCACGGCGGGGUUCGUGACUGGGGUGAAGUCGUAACAAGGUAGCCGUAGGGGAACCUGCGGCUG